AGCAGCGUCAAACGCGUCAAAUGACAAACAGACAUGAGAGCAGACUAGGAACAAACAUGAAGGACAUUCACGCAUUUUUGCAUCUGAGUGUGUAAAUCCCACUGAAGUGAAAGCUACUGAGCCCAAAACAACGCAAGAAACAAACAAAAAACUUAAGCAGUGCUGUUAGUAAAAUGCGGCUCAACAGAUUUAAUCUAUAGAACACAUUUAUCCAGUAAAUAAUCUGUCGCAGAUAGAGCAUACAGACAGACGAUUUUAAACCGAAACUAUGGACCAGUCUGUGUGUUCAGCAUGAGCUCCCGCGGUGACCUAGAGAGCCCCCUUUACUCCGAGUUCAAGCUCGACUUACCUCGUUAACCCAUCGACCUUUCCGGUAAACCCUGGCACAGAUUUUCCUCAAAAGCCACCUCGCAGACCCGCCCCCUCUUUUGUCAGUCAUGCGGUGCAGAUGGCGUGCAUAGGUGAACGGUCAGACAUGCCUCGUCAAUUUCUAAAGGUGAAUCUGAGUGAGGUGGAGGAAGAGACGCAGUUGCUUGCAGAGAAAGUAUAUGCAUCGGCAUUAAAAGAAGAAGAAACCAAAAAUGCCUUGUCGAUGUUCACGAUGCCUGAGGACUGCCCAAUUGGCCUCCAGCAAGCCAAAGACCAUGAACUGCUUAAGGAGCUGGCAGAGCAGCAGUCAGAGGAGACUCUUAAGAGGAGGAACAGCCUGAGGAUGAUUCGUUCCAAGUCACUUUGCCUACAAGUCCCAGCCAAUGCAGAUUGGGCACGCCUAGUGACACCAUUCAUGUCCCCCAGUUCCACCAGCUCAUCUGUGCAGGAAAACUGCCCUGAUUAUCAGAGGGUUACUAUUAGUGGAGAUUACUGUGCUGGUAUCACACUGGACGACUAUGAUCAGGCCGCCAAAAAUCUGUUUAAAGCUCUGCUUCUUCGAGAGAAAUACUCAAAGCUAGCCUAUCACAGAUUCUGCAGAACGACGAGCAAGUUCCUACGAAGUGCUCAGAACACGACCUGGAGCGAAGAAGAUGAGGUCCUUCCAGACAUGUGCCCAUGUCCAGAAGCUGGGGAGGAUCCCUACUGCAUGGACAACAUCCCCAAGGAUCUAAAUUAUAAACUGAAGAUGAAGGAUGGGAUAGUUUAUGUGUAUGAUAAUGAAGAGGCUUUCAAACAAAACCAGCCUCAUGACCUUCCUUACCCAGACUUGGAGACCUUUGCUGUAGAGCUGAGUCAUGUGCUUGCCAUGACUGCAGAUGGACCCACGAAAACCUACUGUCAUAGGAGACUAAAUUUCUUGAGUUCAAAAUUCAACCUCCAUGAGAUGCUCAAUGAGAUGGCUGAGCUCAAGGAAUUAAAACGUGUGCCUCACAGAGAUUUCUACAAUGUUAGAAAGGUGGACACGCACAUUCAUGCAGCUGCAUGUAUGUCUCAGAAACAUCUGCUCACCUUCAUCCAGAAGACGUAUCAGACUGAUGCAGAACGUGUAGUUUUAGAAAAGGGUGGACAAAGAAUGACACUCAAAGAGGUUUUCCAGCACCUCAACAAGGACCCCUAUGACCUUACUGUGGACUCUCUCGACGUACAUGCUGGGAGACAAACCUUCCACCGCUUUGAUAAGUUCAAUGCGAAGUAUAACCCAGUGGGAGCCAGUGAGCUUCGUGAAAUCUUCCUGAAAACUGACAAUGUUGUUAAUGGAGAGUAUUUUGCUUGCAUCAUAAAGGAAGUGGCCCGUGGCCUGGAGGAGAGCAAGUAUCAGCAUGUAGAGCCACGCCUGUCCAUCUACGGAAGGUCUCCUGACGAGUGGUACAGUCUGUCCAAGUGGUUUAUUGACCACAAAUUAUACUCUCCAAACAUAAGGUGGAUGAUUCAAGUGCCCAGAAUAUAUGAUAUUUUCAAGCUAAAGAAGCUAAUACCCAAUUUUGCCAAGAUGCUGGAGAACAUAUUCCUUCCUUUGUUUGAGGCCACAGUCAACCCACAGAAGCACAAAGAACUUCACAUUUUCCUCAAAUAUGUGUCUGGCUUUGACAGCGUGGACGAUGAGUCCAAACACAGCGAUCACAUGUUCUCCUUCAGGAGCCCAAAACCAGAACAGUGGACUUCAGUUGAAAAUCCUCCAUACAGCUACUACAUCUUCCACAUGUACGCAAACAUCAUAGUCCUCAACAACCUCAGAAAAGAGUGUGGACUAAACACCUUCCAGUUCCGUCCCCACUGUGGAGAAGCUGGAUCACUCACUCAUCUGGUCUCUGCCUUUCUCACUGCUGACAACAUCUCACAUGGACUCAACCUGAGGAAGAGCCCAGUGCUGCAGUACCUGUACUACCUAGCCCAGGUACCAAUUGCAAUGUCUCCACUCAGCAACAAUGGCCUGUUCCUGGAAUACUCCAAAAGCCCGCUAAAAGACUUCCUGCACAAAGGUCUGUGUGUGUCCCUGUCCACAGAUGAUCCCAUGCUGUUCCACUACACCAAGGAACCACUGAUGGAGGAGUACGCCAUAGCAGCUCAGCUGUGGAAGUUCAGCACCUGUGAUGUGUGUGAAAUAGCCAGGAACAGUGUGCUGCAGAGUGGGUUUUCUCACCAGGAUAAGAUGCACUUCCUGGGAGAGAACUAUCUGAAAGAUGGACCCGAAGGAAACGAUAUCCGUAAGACCAACGUCGCCCAGGUCCGGAUGGCCUACAGACACGAAACGCUGUGCAAUGAACUCAGCUUCAUUGUUGAUGCAGUGAAGGCUGAAUCUAUGAAUUCCCACAGCGAGUAAAGAGGACCUCACAUUUGACAGAAUCGAAGCAUGUUGCACUCUAAGAUAUCUACAUUUACCUUUAUUUAUUUAUUUAUUUAUUUUGUAAAAAGUGCCUCUGGCUGGCUGUGAUGGAAUACAAACUUCAAUAAAACUAAAACUAAAAGAGCAAUACUUAACUAAUUGCAAAUUAAUAGCAGAUGGGUUUUCUAAAAUUUAAUUGUAAGGGACGAUGCUCAAGUAUUCAAAGGCAAAGCUGUGGAAGCCCACAAGAUCUCAUAGAAACUUUUCACAGCCAUUAGAAGAGUUACCAGUGAGAGAACAAACAAACAGUUUGCUUAAAACAAGCUUCAGUGACUUUUAAAAAAGCUUGAGAGA